UACGAAGGGGGCUAGCGUUGUUCGGAAUCACUGGGCGUAAAGCGCACGUAGGUGGAUUGUUAAGUCAGAGGUGAAAUGCCAGGGCUCAACCUUGGAACUGCCUUUGAUACUGGCAAUCUCGAGUCCGGGAGAGGUGAGUGGAACUGCGAGUGUAGAGGUGAAAUUCGUAGAUAUUCGCAAGAACACCAGUGGCGAAGGCGGCUCACUGGCCCGGUACUGACACUGAGAUGCGAAAGCGUGGGGAGCAACAGG
rnacentral:rRNA from 1 species